rnacentral:tRNA from 1 species
GCUGGCGUAGCUCAACUGGUAGAGCAGCUGAUUUGUAAUCAGCAGGUUAGGGGUUCAAGUCCCUCCGCCAGCUCCA